rnacentral:rRNA from 1 species
GACGAACGCUGGCGGCGUGCCUAACACAUGCAAGUCGAACGGAAAGGCCUCUUUCGUGGGGUACUCGAGUGGCGAACGGGUGGGUAACACGUGAGUAACUUGCCCUUGACUUUGGGAUAACUUCAGUAAACAGGGGCUAAUACCUGCUAGGAGCUACUGCUGCAUGGUGGGGGUUGGAAAGUUUCGGCGGUUGGCGAUGGACUCGAGGCUUAUCAGCUUGUUGGUGGGGUAGUGGCUUACCACGGCCUUGACGGGUAGCCGGCCUGAGAGGGUGACCGGCCACAUUGGGACUGAGAGACGGCCCAGACUCCUACGGGAGGCAGCAGUGGGCAAUAUUGCACAAUGGGUGGAAGCCUGAUGCAGCAACGCCGUGUGCGGGAUGACGGCCUUCGGGUUGUAAACCGCUUUCGCUCAUGACGAAGCUUUGUGUGACGGUAGUGGGUAAAGAAGCACCGGCUAACUACGUG